UACGGAGGGUGCAAGCGUUGUUCGGAAUCAUUGGGCGUAAAGGGCGCGUAGGCGGUUCGGUAAGUCGGGUGUGAAAGCCCCGGGCUCAACCCGGGAAGUGCAUCCGAAACUGCCGGACUUGAGUACGGGAGGGGGAAGUGGAAUUCCUGGUGUAGGGGUGAAAUCCGUAGAUAUCAGGAGGAACACCGGUGGCGAAGGCGACUUCCUGGACCGAUACUGACGCUGAGGCGCGAAAGCGCGGGGAGCAAACAGG
rnacentral:rRNA from 1 species